rnacentral:lncRNA from 1 species
ACUGCAGUUUUUGAUCUAAAACUUGUUGUCUAUUAUAUUCUAUCAGUUGUUAUACUGUUGAAGGCUAUUGAUAACUUAUUAUGUAUUAUCUUAGUCAUAAUAUUUCUUACUGGGCUAGUUGAGCUCACCCUUUUACUUUUAUUGUUCUCUUCAAGAAAUGAGAACGUAGCUGGGACUAGUCGGGGAACAGAGUGAUGGUCCUAGAUGGACCACUAGUAGUCCUCACUAUUCUGUGAAAUAGUGUGAUAAUAAAUGUAAUGAGGAC